AGUCCCGGAGUUGUAUUACUGAGGGGGGGAGCUCGGAAUGGAUCGAAAUAACAAUUUCUUCCAAAAAUAUGCUCCUGCAAUUAACUACCCAAUCCCAUACACUGACUCAGACCAACCCUCCACCAUCUCCAUCGACCGCUCCAGCCUCUGCGACACCACCUAAACACUAACUCUGUUUAUCUAACCUACUUCUUGUUACUGUCAGAGCACUCCCAUGAGCCUUGUUCCGACUCCGACCUCGUCAAGCACCUCAAGGGCAUCAUCAAGGUUGCUUAGGGCACAAUUGCUUCUGUUGGUCUUGGAUUUGUUCAAAUGACCAAAUGACUGAGAAUUAUAUUGUGCUUCCUCUCUUUUCGUACUCUUUCUCUACUGGAGAGCUGCUGGGUGCUUGGGUUUGAGGUUGGCACAGAAUAAGAUGGGUAUUGGUGAUCGGCUUGCCAUUCGGUUAACCCGAUCUAUGUUCCCUUGAUUUCCUGCUGAUUGGAAUUUUUUUUUGCAGCUGUUGAUAGUAAUUGAUCAAUCUGAUAUCCAGUUCGUAAGAUUUUCAGGAUAAAGUUGUACUGUGUUGUUGUAAGAGGCAUUCGGCUUAUUUCCAGGCUUCUCUGCAUAGUGCAGAUGGAAGUAAUGGAGAAACAUCUAAAAAUGGAACUGCUUUGGUAAAUGAAGUUAGCAACCCUGCCUCUGUCAAUUGUAAGCCAUCUUCCGCCACUCCUUAGAAGUAUUUUGAGAGAAAGAGGGAGUCCACUUCUACUUGAAAGUCGAUAGUCCCAGCAAAUCAGGACAAGAGAACACAAAGAUUUCAAAAGGGGUCAACAUCAAGCUCACUGUAUGGAGCACUGGAUUGCAGUAACUGAACUAUGCAUCCUCUUAAACAAAACAGAUCAAGUGAGGCAUCACUUUUGAUGAUCUUAGUUAACAAAUGAUGUCAUUCAAAACAAUCUGGGGGAUGGUAGUCUGAAAUACAAAAGAGUUGAAUCAAUGACCAAGCAAAAAAAGGGGCUUGUGAUGCCUCCCAUGUUUUCUAAUGCCUCCAUAGAAAACUCUAAUGCCCAUCGCUCAUUUUCCAAAGCUUGUUCUCUUGCUAGAUUUCAAGGAAGUCCUUAUUUGCUAAGGCCCUAACCGAGAACAUUUUAUUCUUACAAAGUACUUAACUUGACAUUAGUGAACCUUGUCCAACCGAAUGCGGAUAUUUUUCAUAUUUUUAUGAUAUAGGUUAAGAGCAUCGACGCGUUUGUCACACGUCUCUUUGCUUUCCACAUUGAACGCUGCAUGUGCUAAAGUUUUUAGUUAUGAACAUCAUACGAAGGACUCACCACCUUUCCCAUCUAUUUGAUUGGAUUCCGUUGGAGAGUUCACC